rnacentral:rRNA from 1 species
UAGGGAAUCUUCCGCAAUGGGCGAAAGCCUGACGGAGCAACGCCGCGUGAGUGAUGAAGGUCUUCGGAUCGUAAAACUCUGUUAUUAGGGAAGAACAAAUGUGUAAGUAACUAUGCACGUCUUGACGGUACCUAAUCAGAAAGCCACGGCUAACUACGUGCCAGCAGCCGCGGUAAUACGUAGGUGGCAAGCGUUAUCCGGAAUUAUUGGGCGUAAAGCGCGCGUAGGCGGUUUUUUAAGUCUGAUGUGAAAGCCCACGGCUCAACCGUGGAGGGUCAUUGGAAACUGGAGAACUUGAGUGCAGAAGAGGAAAGUGGAAUUCCAUGUGUAGCAGUGAAAUGCGCAGAGAUAUGGAGGAACACCAGUGGCGAAGGCGACUUUCUGGUCUGUAACUGACGCUGAUGUGCGAAAGCGUGGGGAUCAAACAGG